rnacentral:rRNA from 1 species
AAUAAUUAAUUUAAUUUCUUUAAUAAUUUUAUUAUUAUAAAUUUUUUAAAUUAAUUUUAAAAUAAAAGUUAAUAAAUUAAAUUAAAUGAUUUUUAAAAAAUUAAUUUAAUAAAUAAUUAAAUUAAAGAAAAAUUUUUUUUUUUUACCUUUUGUAUCAGGAUUAAUUAAAAAAAUUCAUUAAAAUUUAAUUUCUCGAAUUUAAAAAAUUUAAAUAAUUACUUUUAUUAAUAUAAAAAUAUUAAAUAAAAUAAUUUUUUAGAAACAAAAAAUUAAUCAAUUUUAAAAUUAUCUAGUUAUUUAUGAAAUAAAUUUAAUUUAUAUAUAAUUUUUAAAUAAUAUUUAUUAUUAUUAAAUUAAAAAAUUAUAUUAAUAAUUUUAGGAAUAAACUUAAAAUUAUUUUUAAAAAUUUUUUUAUAAAAAAAUAAUAUAAAAAUAAAAUUUUUUUUAUUAAUAAAAAUUUAAUAAUUUAAUUUUAAAUUUUAAAAUAAAUUAUUUAAAAAAAUUUUAAAAAUUUAAUAAAUUAAUUAAUUAAAUUAUAAUUUUAAAAAAAUAAUGAUUAAAUUAGUAAUAAUAUUUUAAAUUAAUAUAUUUUAUUUAUUAAAAUUAAAUUUAAUAAACUCGGCAAAAUUUAUAUUCACCUGUUUAACAAAAACAUGUCUUAUUGAAAAUAAUAUUAAGUCAAAUCUGCUCAAUGAAAAAUUAAAUAGCUGCAGUAUUUAUAACUGUACAAAGGUAGCAUAAUAAUUAGUUUUUUAAUUAAAAACUAGAAUGAAAGAUUUAAUGAAAUAUAAACUGUCUCAAACUUAAAAAAUAAAUUUUUUUUUUAAAUAAAAAAAUUUAAAUUUUAUUUAAAGACGAGAAGACCCUAUAGAAUUUUAUAUUAUAAUUUUAUAAUUAAUAAAAUUAAUAAUUUUAAUUGGGGAAAUUUUAAAAUUUAAAUAAUUUUUAAUUUAAUAAACAAUUAUUUUUGAACAAAAUAUUUUUUUUUAAAAAAAUAAAAUAAAUUACCUUAGGGAUAACAGCAUAAUUUUUUUAAAAAGUUCAAAUUUAUAAAAAAGUUUAUGACCUCGAUGUUGAAUUAAGAUAAAAUUUUUUGUAAAAAAAAUAUUUUUUAAGUCUGUUCGACUUUUAAAAUCUUACAUGAUUUGAGUUAAGAUCGGUGUAAGCCAGAUCGGAUUCUAUCUUAAAUUAAUUUUUAUAUUUUUGUACGAAAGGAAUUUAUAAAAAAAAUAAUUUUAAGUUAAA